rnacentral:rRNA from 1 species
UACAGAGGAGCCAAGCGUUGUCCGGAUUGACUGGGCGUAAAGCGCACGCAGGCGGUCGCGCGCGUGGGGUGUGAAAUCUGGACCCGCUUAACGGCCAGGCGCCAUCCCAUACGGCACGACUGGAGUGAUGCAGAGGUCGAUGGAAUUGCCGGUGUAGUGGAUGAAUUCGUAGAUAUUCGGCGGAACGACCAGUGGCGAAGGCGACUCCACUGGCCCGAUACUGACGCUGAGGCGACGAAAGGCGUGGGGAGCAAACAGG